rnacentral:sRNA from 1 species
UUUGUACACCCUCCUUGUGUUACACAAAAACACAAAUAUACACACACACACACAGAGACACACAAGAGCAAAUUAUUUAUUACAAAGUCAAUAAGUCUAAAUUGCUAUAUUUUCCGCAGUUUUUGUUGUUUAAAUCUAGUUUUUGCUGAAAGCUUAAGUGAACUUAAAAUCUAAAAUUAAUAGGGACUAAUUUUAUCAUCAUAUUCUAGUUUCUUUUGCGCGGUACAGUCAGAAAUCAAUUGUUUCCUUAAAAUCAAAAAGUGCAAACUGCAGUUAACUGCGAGUAAGUGCUUGAAAUGGAAUCUUUAAAAUACCAAAAGAAAGGGAAGACAGGAUAGCGCCUCUUUCUCGCUCUUUGACUAAGUGUGUGUGUGUGUGUGUGUAUAUGUGUGUGGAGGAGAUGCUUCGUGGACACGUUGCAAUUGAGUAAUGUAUAUAUCAAUCAAUGUAUUUUAUUUUCUUUUGUUCUUUUGCAGUUAACUAAGAUGGCCAUCGGAUGGGUAAAAAGAAAACUUUAGAGUUUAAGUUUUAGAAAUCGGUUUAGGCGCGAUUAGAAUUGUGCCCAAACCGAUUUUCGAAACAAAAUUUCAAAUUAAAAAAAAAAAAAACUGUUAAACGUUAUACGAGUUUUAAACGAUCAAUCAGAAAAAAAUAUUUAUAUUAAAAUCGAUCGUUUGAAAGGCGUAUGUGUUCGACUCGGGUAGCUAGACGUUAUCCGCGCCGUAACACGAAAUAGAGCGGGAUAAAAAAAAAAAAAACAAUUUUAGAUGAACAAAACAAUAAAAAUAUAUAUAUA